CAUUUUUUCUCACCAGAGGGUACACGAUCGAAUAUCGUCUGCUUCACUAAAGACUCGAAUAAAUUACAAUAGAAGCCUCCGGCGAGGGAUCCAACACCCGCAUCACCCCCAUAAGUACGUCACAGUACGCAGGGAAAGAAAAGAGCCAAUUGGAGAUAAGGAAAUUAAAUUUUUUUUGAAAACAAUUUAUGCGCAUGGCAGAGUUUUAUCGAGCAUUGUAAGAAAAUAAUUGGCAAAGCUAAUAAGAGAAAAACAUAAAUUCGAGAAGCAGACUCAUUAGAAAGUCAUUUACAAAAGGAUUUUUCUAUCGUUCGUUAUUAAUGACCUGGGCUAGAAAAUAUUCGGCCAUGGAAUCACCAAAUCUACUGUCGCCGUAUCUCGUUAGAGUAAAGACAGUGGUCGAAUGUAAAGUUUUGUGAGGUAACGACGAAUUAAAUAAAAAAAGGGGGAAAGAAAAUCACGUGGAAAUUAAUGGUUACAAUCAGUUUAUGGCUUUGUCUUUUAUUUAUUUUUGUAAAAGUCGAAUUAAGAACUUGGCUUAAGAGAUUCGUUAAAUUUCUAUAUACUAUUUCGAUAGUUCAAAGACCACCGGACUAAGUUCACGUGGUGAUCGAAGAGGUCGUUGUAUAGUUUAUAAAAGGAAAAAGUUGUGUACGAAAUAUAAUAAACUGCCGACAAGAUUUUAAAAAAAUGCAUCCGAUAAAUGCUUUAACGGAGUGUUAAUUCCCUAGUAACAGUGUCACGUGUAUAAUUCACCGUGUUGUACGGGAAAGGCGAAUGGAAGGAGAACUAUCGAGCGUGUCUAACCUUUAAAGCUGGGAGACGUUGAUGCGAGCUUCGCAGCAAAUACGUCAAUGUUGUAUGCCUCAUUACCGCUGCACAUAUUGGCAGCGGGGGUAGCAACACCAACAGCCUUUCAUUUGUCACGUGGACAUAUAUUACUUUUUAAUCCCUUGGGUGGUGUGACAUGAUGGAUAACGGCGGGCCAAGAAAUAGAUGCCGCUGCCUCUAUACAUCCCAGAAUGCUGCUGAACUUUCAUGAAAUUCAUGAAUCUAGAGAAUUCUUUUCCUCGCUGUUUGAUUAUUUGGAAAAGUGACUUAUGGAUAAAAAAUAGUACAAAGUUAUAAGCUCUGAUAAAUCUUAAAUAAAUCUAA